rnacentral:rRNA from 1 species
AAAAAAGCCGCUAUUGUGUACCAUGUGCCCGUACUGUAAACCGACACAGGUGGAUGAGGAGAGAAUCCUAAGGCCGGCGGGAGAAGCAUUGUUAAGGAACUCGGCAAAAUGACCCCGUAACUUCGGGAUAAGGGGUGCCAGAGAGAUCUGGCCGCAGAGAAUAGGCUCAAGCAACUGUUUAGCAAAAACACAGGUCUAUGCGAAACCGUAAGGUGAUGUAUAUGGGCUGACGCCUGCCCGGUGCUGGAAGGUUAAGAGGAGAGGUUAGAGCAAUCGAAGCUUUGAAUUGAAGCCCCAGUAAACGGCGGCCGUAACAAUAACGGUCCUAAGGUAGCGAAAUUCCUUGUCGGGUAAGUUCCGACCCGCACGAAAGGCGUAAUGAUUUGAGCGCUGUCUCGACAAUGCACCCGGUGAAAUUGAAAUACCAGUGAAGAUGCUGGUUACCUGCGCCAGGACGGAAAGACCCCAUGGAGCUUUACUCCAGCUUGAUACUGGGAUUCGGUAAUGCAUGCACAGGAUAGGUGGGAGGCUACGAGUACGGAACUCCGGUUUCGUAUGAGCCGCUGUUGGGAUACCACCCUUGCGUUACUGGGUUUCUAACCAUGGUCCAUGAUCUGGAUCGGGGACGAUGUCAGGUGGGGAGUUUGACUGGGGCGGUCGCCUCCGAAAGGGUAUCGGAGGCGCUCAAAGGUUCCCUCAGAAUGGUUGGAAACCAUUCGAAGAGUGCAAAGGCAGAAGGGAGCUUGACUGCGAGACCGACGGGUCGAGCAGGUAGGAAACUAGGACUUAGUGAUCCGGUGGUAUGAAAGUGGGAUUGCCAUCGCUCAACGGAUAAAAGCUACCCUGGGAUAACAGGCUUAUCACUCCCAAGAGUUCACAUCGACGGAGUGGUUUGGCACCUCGAUGUCGGCUCAUCGCAUCCUGGGGCUGAAGUAGGUCCCAAGGGUUGGGCUGUUCGCCCAUUAAAGCGGUACGCGAGCUGGGUUCAGAACGUCGUGAGACAGUUCGGUCCCUAUCCGGCGCAGGCGGAGGAUAUUUGAGAGGAGCUGUCCUUAGUACGAGAGGACCGGGAUGGACGGACCGCUGGUGUACCGGUUGAGCUGCUAAGCUCAGGGCCGGGUAGCCAAGUCUGGCAGGGAUAAACGCUGAAGGCAUCUAAGCGUGAAGCCCCCCUCAAGAUGAGAUAUCCCAUUCGAAAGAAGUAAGACCCCUUGAAGACGACGAGGUAGAUAGGGCAGAGGUGGAAGUGCAGUAAUGUACGGAGCUGACUGUUACUAAUCGGUCGAGGGCUUAUU